rnacentral:rRNA from 1 species
UACGUAGGGGGCUAGCGUUGUCCGGAAUCACUGGGCGUAAAGCGCGUGUAGGCGGUCCGGUAAGUCCGCUGUGAAAGUCUAGGGCUCAACCCUCGAAUGCCGGUGGAUACUGUCGGGCUAGAGUGCGGAAGAGGCGAGUGGAAUUCCUGGUGUAGCGGUGAAAUGCGCAGAUAUCAGGAGGAACACCUAUUGCGAAGGCAGCUCGCUGGGACGUAACUGACGCUGAGACGCGAAAGCGUGGGGAGCAAACAGG